AAACGUUGAAACCGAGGGACGCGUGAAAAACGUUCGUGAACGCGCUCGCCUCGCCUCGGCGCGAGUCGCGUUUUCGACGCGAACGCGGCGUCGUCGAUCACUCACUUCACGCGCCGCCGGGCACGGAGGUGCGCCCGUCUCCCCUCUCGCGGACCCUCCCCCUCCCCCCUCGAUCGCGCUCGCGCGCCGCGUCGCCGCGUCGUCGCCCCGCCCUCGACGCGCGCGUCCUGACGCCCGCGCCCUUCCGCCCGUCCACCUCCGCCCCGCCCCCCGUCGCGUCGUAGUUCGCAGAGCGGAGAGGACGCGAAGAUGAUUUAUGACACGAACAGCACGCUGUUCCGGUCGUUCCUGAAGGCGUCCACGAAGACGGGCCACGUCGCCGGCGUCGGCGGCGUCGCCAAGGACAUCAAGGCCAAGGGGAGCGACGGGAAGUACCAGGGCGAGUGAGCCCCCGUGAGCGCGGCGGAGGCGGAGACGGGGACGGGAGCUGAGUUUUGAACGAAAGAGAAGUAACCCUACAGUACCCGACGCAGUACCUCGGACCUCCUCGGACCUCGCGAGAAACCCGAGGCGACGACGCGACGCCGCAGCCGCCGCCGGCGGCACUCCUCCUCGCACUCCGCCACGCCCUCGCCGUCGCGACGCGCCCUCUUCCCUCGCCCCCCCCCCCUCCUCCG
rnacentral:lncRNA from 1 species